rnacentral:rRNA from 1 species
GACGAACGCUGGCGGCGUGCCUAAUACAUGCAAGUCGAGCGCAGGAAGCUGACGGAACUCUUCGGAGGGAAGGCAGUGGAAUGAGCGGCGGACGGGUGAGUAACACGUAAGGAACCUGCCUCAAGGACUGGGAUAACUCCGAGAAAUCGGAGCUAAUACCGGAUAGUUCAACGGACCGCAUGGUCCGCUGAUGAAAGGCGCUUCGGCGUCACCUUGAGAUGGCCUUGCGGUGCAUUAGCUAGUUGGUGGGGUAACGGCCCACCAAGGCGACGAUGCAUAGCCGACCUGAGAGGGUGAUCGGCCACACUGGGACUGAGACACGGCCCAGACUCCUACGGGAGGCAGCAGUAGGGAAUCUUCCACAAUGGACGAAAGUCUGAUGGAGCAACGCCGCGUGAGUGAUGAAGGUUUUCGGAUCGUAAAACUCUGUUGUAAGGGAAGAACACGUACGAGAGGGAAUGCUCGUACCUUGACGGUACCUCACGAGAAAGCCACGGCUAACUACGUGCCAGCCGCCGCGGUAACAC